rnacentral:rRNA from 1 species
GACGAACGCUGGCGGCGUGCCUAAUACAUGCAAGCUGAGCGAUGAAGAUUGGUGCUUGCACCAAUUUGAAGAGCAGCGAACGGGUGAGUAACGCGUGGGGAAUCUGCCUUUGAGCGGGGGACAACAUUUGGAAACGAAUGCUAAUACCGCAUAAUAACUUUAAACAUAAGUUUUAAGUUUGAAAGAUGCAAUUGCAUCACUCAAAGAUGAUCCCGCGUUGUAUUAGCUAGUUGGUGAGGUAAAGGCUCACCAAGGCGAUGAUACAUAGCCGACCUGAGAGGGUGUUCGGACACAUUGGGACUGAGACACGGCCCAAACUCCUACGGGAGGCAGCAGUAGGGAAUCUUCGGCAAUGGACGAAAGUCUGACCGAGCAACGCCGCGUGAGUGAAGAAGGUUUUCGGAUCGUAAAACUCUGUUGGUAGAGAAGAACGUUGGUGAGAGUGGAAAGCUCAUCAAGUGACGGUAACUACCCAGAAAGGGACGGCUAACUACGUG